rnacentral:rRNA from 1 species
GAAGGUUUUCGGAUCGUAAAGCUCUGUUGUUAGGGAAGAACAAGUGCCGUUCAAAUAGGGCGGCACCUUGACGGUACCUAACCAGAAAGCCACGGCUAACUACGUGCCAGCAGCCGCGGUAAUACGUAGGUGGCAAGCGUUGUCCGGAAUUAUUGGGCGUAAAGGGCUCGCAGGCGGUUUCUUAAGUCUGAUGUGAAAGCCCCCGGCUCAACCGGGGAGGGUCAUUGGAAACUGGGGAACUUGAGUGCAGAAGAGGAGAGUGGAAUUCCACGUGUAGCGGUGAAAUGCGUAGAGAUGUGGAGGAACACCAGUGGCGAAGGCGACUCUCUGGUCUGUAACUGACGCUGAGGAGCGAAAGCGUGGGGAGCGAACAGGAUUAGAUACCCUGGUAGUCCACGCCGUAAACGAUGAGUGCUAAGUGUUAGGGGGUUUCCGCCCCUUAGUGCUGCAGCUAACGCAUUAAGCACUCCGCCUGGGGAGUACGGUCGCAAGACUGAAACUCAAAGGAAUUGACGGGGGCCCGCACAAGCGGUGGAGCAUGUGGUUUAAUUCGAAGCAACGCGAAGAACCUUACCAGGUCUUGACAUCCUCUGACAAUCCUAGAGAUAGGACGUCCCCUUCGGGGGCAGAGUGACAGGUGGUGCAUGGUUGUCGUCAGCUCGUGU